CAGCAACGGCACCAUUGCCGAACGAGCUGGCGCCACGGGACCUGAUGAUUCUUCCAAAAGCUCCGGUGACCGAUCCGUCCAAAAUUGCAAACUGAGCCGUCGGUGUCAACGGUUACAAAUCUUCACUAUGACCAGGAGUAAGAAUCCCCGCGAAAUGUGACCAGCCAAGAUAUUAAGUUGCCUCCCCCUCCCUCAUCCAGCUGAUGGUAUCAUAUGAUUUAGUCAUCCAUGCAACGCCUAUGACCGGUGCCGUUUAAAUACAUAACCGAGUCAUCGCUGCCGCCGGAGGAGAGAGAAAGAGAGUAAUCAUUCAGAAGUCAGGAACUGAUCAAGAAAACCAUCCUGUA
rnacentral:lncRNA from 1 species